rnacentral:rRNA from 1 species
UACGGAGGGUGCGAGCGUUGUCCGGAAUCAUUGGGCGUAAAGGGCGCGUAGGUGGCGGCUUAAGCGUGCGGUGAAAGCUCGGGGCUCAACCCCGGGCGUGCAGUGGAUACGGGCAGGCUGGAGGCAGGCAGGGGAGAAUGGAAUUCCCGGUGUAGCGGUGAAAUGCGCAGAUAUCAGGAGGAACACCGGUGGCGAAGGCGGGUCUCUGGGCCGUUACUGACGCUGAGGAGCGAAAGCGUGGGGAGCGAACAGG